rnacentral:rRNA from 1 species
UGAGAGGACGGAGAAGGUUAAGUCAGCCUGGCGUUGGUUGUCCAGGUGGAAGGUUGUAGGCAUGUAUCUUAGGCGAAUCCGGGGUACUCUAUGCUGAGAACUGAUAGCAAGCUGUACUUGUACAGUGAAGUGGCUGAUACCAUGCUUCCAGGAAAAGUCUCUAAGCUUCAGUUACAUAGGAAUCGUACCCGAAACCGACACAGGUGGUCAGGUCGAGUAGUCCAAAGCGCUUGAGAGAACUCUGCUGAAGGAACUAGGCAAAACGGUACCGUAACUUCGGGAGAAGGUACGCUGCCGACGGUGAUAGGAUUUACUCCUUGAGCUAUUGGCAGCCACAGAAACCAGGCCCCUGCAACUGUUUAUUAAAAACAUAGCACUCUGCAAACACGAAAGUGGACGUAUAGGGUGUGAUGCCUGCCCGGUGCUGGAAGGUUAAUUGAUGGGGUUAGCGUAAGCGAAGCUCUUGAUCGAAGCCCCAGUAAACGGCGGCCGUAACAAUAACGGUCCUAAGGUAGCGAAAUUCCUUGUCGGGUAAGUUCCGACCUGCACGAAUGGCAUAAUGAUGGGGGCGCUGUCUCCAGCAGAGACUCAGUGAAAUCGAAUUCGCCGUGAAGAUGCGGUGUACCCGCGGCUAGACGGAAAGACCCCGUGAACCUUUACUGCAGCUUGACAUUGAACUUUGAUCUUACUUGUGUAGGAUAGGUGGGAGGCUUUGAAACCGAGACGCUAGUUUCGGUGGAGCCAAUCUUGAAAUACCACCCUGGUAAUAUUGAGGUUCUAACUCUGUCCCGUUAUCCGGGACGAGGACCAUGUCUGGUGGGUAGUUUGACUGGGGCGGUCUCCUCCUAAAGAGUAACGGAGGAGUACGAAGGUGCGCUCAGCGUGGUCGGAAAUCACGCGUAGAGUAUAAAGACAAAAGCGCGCUUAACUGCGAGACCCACAAGUCGAGCAGGUACGAAAGUAGGUCUUAGUGAUCCGGUGGUUCUGUAUGGAAGGGCCAUCGCUCAACGGAUAAAAGGUACUCUGGGGAUAACAGGCUGAUACCGCCCAAGAGUUCAUAUCGACGGCGGUGUUUGGCACCUCGAUGUCGGCUCAUCUCAUCCUGGGGCUGAAGCAGGUCCCAAGGGUAUGGCUGUUCGCCAUUUAAAGAGGUACGCGAGCUGGGUUUAGAACGUCGUGAGACAGUUCGGUCCCUAUCUACCGUGGGCGUUGGAAAUUUGAGAGGAUCUGCUCCUAGUACGAGAGGACCAGAGUGGACGAACCUCUGGUGUACCGGUUGUGACGCCAGUCGCAUCGCCGGGUAGCUAUGUUCGGAAGGGAUAACCGCUGAAAGCAUCUAAGCGGGAAGCCUACCUCAAGAUAAGAUUUCCCUAGGACUUUAUGUCCUCUAAAGAGCCG